UUAGUUCCCCUAUCUUCCCCCGAGACUAAACAUCCGGGUCGGAAGUAGCUCAACUUUCGAUAGUUCUUAGUGAACAAUAGACGCUGUGAAAUAUAAAUGACUUGCGGUGUCUUUCUGCUGUUCGUAAUAAAACAAGCGAAAGUCAGCGCCACUUGAAGAAUGUCGAUUGGUUAAGGUGAACAGAAUCGUCUUUUAAUCAGUAAAUGGACAGAAUGACACAGUGGACGAGCAUAUGCAUCUUCUCUCAACAAAUUCUUUUCAUAAUAAUUGUACCAGCAGCAGGUGCACUGACUGAGGAGGACAGUAGCUUCCCAGCACCUCUGAGGCAAUGGAUGGUAGUGGGUUUUGCUUCUGUUUUUGUUCUUUUUUUCCUGGUUGUCUAUGUUGUCAUCAACUGUGGUGACUGCUAUAACUCUGAGG